rnacentral:misc_RNA from 1 species
UAUUCUCUAGACAAUCAGGAAAACAUACUGCAAGCAUAGCCCUAUAUUAGUUUGUUGGUUCGGGGCCACUGGGCUCUUACCGUACUAACAUUUCAAAAUAAAAGCACAGCCUAUGAUUGAUGAUUAGGCAUGGCCCGGCCGCGGCCCCUCCCACCAUAGCUGUAGCCAUAGCUGUACCCCCUUCCAUAAGAUCCACGAGAACGACCACCACGUGGAAACCCACGGCCACCCCUACCUCCCCGAUACCUUGAAAAGUUGCCAAAAGUCUCUGUGUCUAUUUUCAGUUGCUCAGAGAAUUUAGUCCUUCCAUUCUGAGAAUCAUAAUCAAGUGCAUUGCAGGAGAGUGUAUCAAAAAAGUCAUCUUUGUUAUAAACAGGCUUGACUUCAAUAUUGGUUAAUUCAUCAUCAUCUUCAUAUUGAGAAUCUUCUUCAUCGCUGUCUUUUCCAUAUUCUCUGUCCUUCGAAUGAGAUUUGUUACUCUUACCAAGAUGACCCCAUACUUCAUCCUUCUUGAAUUUUUCAUUCAUUGCCAUAAAAUCAAAAUCCUC